ACUAUCACUUUCAUGGGUUUCUCUGUUCGCUCCCGUUGCUUUUUAUCAUCACUGUAGUUUUACACGUCUUCAUACGGGACUGCAUGUGGCCUAAACUGAGUUUUAUUUGGUUCUGUCACGGGUGACAAAAUGGCUAACGCCUGGCACUUAACGUUAGCUUGCUAAUAGACUCCAUUCAAAUGGCACGGGCCUAGCUAGCAGCUCACUGGCCAGGAAGUACAAACACUGAAACUUCUUCGACUCCAGACUUAUCUGCGUCAGCCGUAUUCGAAGUCGUACAGUUUUUACACUUGUAGCAAAAUUUCAACGAUAGUAAGAGUGAAGAGAAGUACACUGGAGCAACAAUGGUGAAGAUUUUCAUCGGGAACCUGUCUCAGCACGCUGGGAAGGAUGAGGUUGAGGCUCUGUUUACUCAGUAUGGCACAGUGACAGAAUGUGCCAAGUACAAAAACUAUGCUUUUGUCCAUAUGGAAGACCGCAAGUCUGCCACGAAAGCCAUCCGUGAGCUCCAUCUCUAUAAGCUGAACGGUAGGCCCAUCAAUGUGGAGCUCAGCAGAGGGAAGAACCAGGGCCCUGUGAAGCUCCACAUUGCCAAUGUAGAGAAGGGAGCUGACGACGAGCUCCGUGCUCUCUUUGAAGAGUACGGCACAGUCGACGAGUGUUCCAUUGUCAAGGACUUUGCCUUUGUGCACAUGGCCAAUUCUGAUGAGGCCAUGGAUGCCAUCAAGGGACUGGACAACACUGAGUUUCAAGGGAAGCGCAUACAUGUUCAGAUAUCAAAAAGCAGACCCAGAGGGGCACCCGAGGAGGAGGCCUAUCCACCUCCGCCAGGCAGAGGAGGCUAUUUUCCUCCUCACUACCCAGGGGAGAGACCCGAGCCUCCUUACAGAGGCCGCAUGUCCGCUUUCCCGCCUCCACCUCCGCCCCCCCCUCCCCCGAGACGAGCACCUUAUCCCGACCGCGGCUAUGGCGAGCGAGAGGGCUACGGGGUGGUCGAUUACUAUGAGAAAUACAGAGCCCGUCCUUACAGCACCCCAGGCUAUGAUGACAGGCGUGCCAUCCCCCCGCCUCCGCCUCCUCCCUCGGCACUGGUUAGAGAACGUCUCGGAAUGGGGUCCCUUGACCCGUAUGAGCGGCGCCCGCUCCCCCAUCCUCCUCCGUCCUACAUGCCUAGGGACCGAAGCCCUAUCGGACGAGCCCCCAUUCCGCCUGCCCCGUCAGCUGGUAACGGGUACUCCUAUGAACGGUCCCGGCUCUCUCCAAUGUCCAGACCGCCGAUGUAUGCAGCCCCCCCCCCCAGGGAAUCCUUUCCAGAGAGAUUGCCUCCGCCGCCGCCGCCGCCACCUCGCUAUGCAGGCUAUUAGGCUCCUGAGAGUGUAAUACAAGGUUGUUAGACUCUAUGCAGGAGUUGCCGGCUCAUGGUAAGUCAUCUGUGGAAGACGUCCGGCAUCCGGAAGAAAAGAGCGUUGUCUCUGCUCUGGCGACUAUAGUGGGUCUUGAAGGGAAUUCACAGGACUUGGUGGUUUUCGAACAUUAUGGGAUCGGACAGUCCUGUGGUUAAAGGAAGUGGAUUUGGUCCGGUUUGGUCCAUUGGUUGGUGAGCUGGAUUGACUGUCCCGGUUCAGUCCUCAGAAUAUUUGUGCGCUGCAGCAGAUGACACCAAAAUAAUGGGGUUGGACUCAGUCCUACAGAUUGGUUCUUACUGACUCAGGACAUGUCAAACUUGAAAAAGAGACUUUUUUUUAAAAAACCUUACCCCCAUCCAUACCAACUAAAUGAUGAAACUGAGAUAUGGCUGAAACCAUAUAGUGUUAAAAUUAUGAUUGUGUUUUGGUACAGUCCCUAAGGCCCGGAACAUUUACUUGAAACCUAUGCAUGACUUUUUAUAUAUAACUGUUAUGUUUUGCUGUUAAUUUAUAUUUUUGUCUGUGAACUUAUAUUUGUGAACCUACAACUAUUUCAUACACUAUGUCACUGUGUAAGGGCAGCUGCACACAAUAUUUGUAGCACUGACUUUAAUAAAUUGUACUUUUUAAAUAAUUUUCUUUGCUUUUUAAAGAAAAAUAAAUAUCAAAAAUAGAUAUAUCUUCAAUAGUUGGAGCGUGUUCAUCCCUGGUGGGUUAUUGUGAUUCUAGAAAGAGAGAUUUUGUUUGGAUCUAUUCUGCAAGUCCAUUAUAUGGACUGGGCUGUAUGACUUUUAACUCUAGUGGUUAAGCUGACUAAGAGAGGCCUCCCAGUUUGACACAAGCUUUGUUGUAGUUAACAGUCUCACUGUAAAAGUUGAGUCUGAUAUUGAAAUAUGUGUGGGGGGGGAAAGAUUCCCUUGUGGGAUAUAAAUACAGGAAUUACAAAUUACACCAUUUUUAAUCAACUCAGCUGUAAUGUAUCCUGCAGUAACAGUUUAUUUUGUAACAAUCUAUUUAUCACUAUGAGUUAAUGUCACUUGAUUUAUCAUAACUUUUGGCAAUGUUCAGCACUGAUAAGUGAGAAAAACUGACCAGCAGUAGAUCAGUGCAGGGCAAAAAAAGCUAAAACAAAACAAAAAUAACUAAAUUAUGCUUUCUGUAUUUACUUCCAGCUGGAUCUUAAGUGCAGUAAAUACUGGUUGAAAGGCAGGAUACAUCCUGGACAGGUAGUCAGCCAUAGAUGGGUACAUAGUGUAGUUGCUCUACUUGGUAAAAGACAACAAAACAAAAGCAGUCUGAAUUACUCAACCUAACACUUAGUCAGUCCUCUACAUGCACCAAAGAAUGGGUGUCAUUUUCUCUAUUCCCUUUUUCUGAAGUUUUGUUUGCAGGUUCCCUGUAAGCACACUUCCUUCUUGUUGAGAUGGGAGUUUCAAGAAAUCACGAGUGGUUCUUAGAGUCUCGAUACUGUGUUGACCGGAGGUUGUUUUAUAGGGUUUGCUGGACUGCUGCAACUGCAACCUGCAUGACGAUCUAAAACGUUUGGACCACAAUCCAAACUUUUAUUGCUGGUGGUGUCGUAAUUAUUGGACCCUGCGGUUGUCACCACCCGCAGCAACACUGUUGUCACUCUAUUCAGUUUAGUAAGAGAAGGAUUCUGCAAUCAGUGCGGACUUUGUUCUAAGACUAUUAGAAAACAACACCCGUUUCUGGACCCGAUUCAAACCCAAUACCUGACCUUUGUUUCUCCAUCAUCGAUUUGUGCUGAUAUUAGCUAAGAGGGCUGGACCAAAUAUGCUGAAUGAAAUAUGCUGUUAUUACACAAAUCUGGUUUUAAGGUGAUGCACUGUCUCACCUUUGCAUCUGUAUUUGUUGUUGUUGUCUUAUGAUGUCAUGCUGAGUUGAGGACCUAAUAAACAUGCCUGCUCUUCAAAGUAA